UACGUAGGGUGCAAGCGUUGUCCGGAAUUAUUGGGCGUAAAGAGCUCGUAGGCGGUUCGUCGCGUCGGCUGUGAAAACCCGGAGCUCAACUCCGGGCCUGCAGUCGAUACGGGCGGACUCGAGUUCGGCAGGGGAGACUGGAAUUCCUGGUGUAGCGGUGAAAUGCGCAGAUAUCAGGAGGAACACCGGUGGCGAAGGCGACUUCCUGGCCUGUUCUUGACGCUGAGGCGCGAAAGCUAGGGGAGCAAACGGG
rnacentral:rRNA from 1 species